rnacentral:lncRNA from 1 species
UGCUUUCGGUUCAGCCAAUAAAUGUGCGGAACCGGUGGCAGGCAGAGGUUUACAUAUUUUUCAUACAGCCUUGGGAUAAAACAGGUAAUUUUUGGCUUACAUGUGUAUUUGUUUUGGGAGAGUGUUGUAGUUUUUGUGUAUUUGUAGCAUGAACGCGAGUAUGAAGCAUUUAAGAUUCUAGACUACAUCACUUUUCCCUCCCCAAGC